AUUAUUAUACCAAAUUGAGUCAAACACAAACUCCUUGAACACAAAGAAAAUAUAAAUUUUGGCGGAAGUGAGAACUCAGAACCCUAAACUUUAAGAAUUUAAACUAAACACCGAAAGAAAAUUCCCGAUUAAAGGGGGAAAAGAAAAACCUAAAAUCCCAGUUGGUGAGUGAGGUGCAAUGGGAGUGAUAAAAGAGGGCAGAGUCUCAGGCACGUUGCCGAAAGAUGAGGCGUUUGCCGUUCACUACCCGGGCUAUCCUAAGACCACCUCUCGCGCCAUCCAGACUCUUGGAGGAACCGAAGGGAUUCUCAAGGCUCGUAUCUCGCAGUCAAACAGAUUGGAGCUCCAUUUCCGUCCCGAGGAUCCGUACUCGCAUCCUGCAUUCGGUGAGAUUAGCCCCUGUAACAAUUUGCUGCUUAAAAUAUCGAAAAAGAAGUGUUCUAAUCGCCAAACCGCCGAAGCUUCAAGUAAGUUACAAGAGUGUUCAACAUCAGGAGUAAAUGAUGCGGAAAACCCGAAACAGCCAUUUCAAGUUGAAGUGGAGAGACCGGAAGAAGAAGAAGAAGAAGAAGAGGAAUCGAACCUUUGUGCUGAUAUUGUUUGUCGUGUCUCCGAAGCUUACAAUUUUGAUGGAAUGGCUGAUUAUCAGCAUGUUCUCCCUGUUCAUGCCAAUGCUGCCAGGAAAAGAAAGGGAAAUUGGGUGGAAGCAGAAGAGACAUCCUUUGAAAAAGGUGGGUUCAUGGAUGUGGAUCAAGAGGAUGUGAUGAUGAUAUUGCCUCCGCUCUUUUCACCCAAAGAUAUGCCAGAGAAUGUAGUGUUAAGACCAUCAACCAUCUUAAGUUCAAAAAAGAACCAAGAGGUAGCUGUACAUUAUAGUGCUCAGGUUGACCUAGAGCCAGGCCUUGCAAUUGAUUUCAACAUUAAAGAGGUUCCUAAGAAUGUGAACUGGGAGGAACAUAUAACCCAGGGCUCAGAGCAGUGGGAGUGGCAGAUGACUGUAUCUAAGCUAUUUGAAGAACGGCCUAUAUGGCCCAAGGAAUCUGUAACUGAGCGCUUGCUUCAGAAAGGUCUAAAAUUUAGCCAUUUGGUGCUUAAAAGGCUUCUACUUGGGGUUGCUUACUACUUCUCAAAUGGACCAUUUCGGAGAUUCUGGAUCAGAAAAGGAUAUGAUCCUCGCAAAGAUCCUGAGUCUCGCAUAUAUCAGAGAACUGAUUUUCGUGUACCUGAACCAUUGCGGAACUAUGCAGAUGCUAAUGUGGCUAACAAUUUGACGCAUAAGUGGGGAGAUUUAUGUUCAUUCCAAGUAUUUCCUUACAAAUUCCAGAUGAUUUUACAACUAUUUGAACUGGAUGAUGAUUACAUUCAACAAGAGAUACGAAAGCCUCCAAAAUUAGAAACAUGCGAUCCUAAAACUGGAUGGUUCUCCGAGUGUGUGCUUGAUUGCCUGAGACUUCGUGUAGCAGUGAGGUUCUUGUCAGUAUAUCCCAAAACUGGUGCAGAAAGCAUACUGAAAUCUUGCUCUAAUGAAUUUGAGAAGUUAAAGAGGUCAUGCUUAUACAAGGAUGUCUUCAACUCUCAUCAAGAGGAGCAUCAGCAAACUAAUAAAGGUGAUGGUGAUAAAGAGAGACCCAAAAGUUCUGAUAAUAAGGAAGAUGAAGUUGAAGCUGAGGAUGAAGAGGAAUUGGAUGCGUAUGAUGAGACACUUAAUCUGGUUGAUGAGGAUGAUGAAAUCUCUUUGCAACCUGAUACAUAUUUAGAUAUGGAGAACAACUCAAGGACAUACUUGCAAGAGCUUUUUGGUAGCUUUCCAUCAACUGGAUCUGGUACUGAUGCUAUACAGGCUGCAGACACUAGUGAUGGAGAGUAUGAAAUAUAUGAACAAUUUGGUGAUGAUAACUACUCUGAUGAUGACGAUGACGAUGACGAUGAUGAUGAUGGUGGUGAUGAUAGCUAACGUUCCUAACUCCAAAGUUUACAGGUAGCUUUCUUGCCUUCGUUUUGGCUCCUUUUAGUCAUUCAUCUUGCUUCACUUACAGCAACAACAGUUCAAAAUUUCUAAUGGAAAUUUAUGCGAUUGAUUUGUUGGUCAGAGGAUAUAGCUAGUAUCUUUCUAAGUUAUACUUUCCAUAAAGCAGCUUAAACUAAUAAUAGCUUUGUGUUUCUGAUCUCAAACACAUUCUUUUUGAAGUUGUCAAAACUUGUACACUACCAUAACAUCUCAGGAGCAAAAAAUUUUAAUGAGACUUCAAAAAAGGUGAACCUAUCCAAUUGGAACAUUACAUUUUAGAAUCUCUCAUAUUUUUUACGUCUUUUAGGCCUUUUAAUAUAAAUUGGACAUGAAAUUGUUGUGCUGCUUUUUGGUAUUUUCACUGUAGAUUUUCAGAUUCUUGAAGCUACAAUAUGUGGUAGGGUGGGGAAGAUAUACUGCAGUUAAGUCUUUCUAGCUAGAGAGAAGGGUGACUAGAUAUCUGCAUGUUCCAUUGCAGGUCUUGUUUACAUAUCAGUUCCUAAAUUACCAAUUAUCAGGAACCGUCUUUUAGCCAAACUGAUUUGUGCUUUAGAUAAGGAAACAUACUGUUAUGAAAAGGACAUGGUCCUUUGUAAAUUAAGAGGAGACAACGAAUUUCCAGGAAUAAUCAUCACAGUUGAAGCAUUAGCUCUGUUUUUGUUCUUUUUCUUAGUGGACUUAAUGUCGCUUCAUGGCUAGUCUGCUAGGGCUGUAAAUGAAUUGGGUCUUAACAAUCUUUUUAUUCAUGCUUGUUUAUUUACUUUUGAAUCUGCCUGUGUGUUAAAACUUUCUAAAAUGUUUCUGAGCUUAAGUUCAUUUAUGUUCAA